ACACGCAUCACAGAGGAGCGUUGCAUCACGCCGCUCGUCCUCUCCUCUCCUCUCUCCUCACCAGAUAACAGCAGCGGCGCCGAUGCACAUCGGCGGAAGGGGGCGUCCCCGGCGCGCAUCGGCGACGAGCCAGCGACGGCGGUGCGUCUCCGCAGCGGCGUCCGCGCGCAUCGGCCGCGACAGCGGGCGCACAUAGGCGGUGAGCCGGCGAUGGCCCGACGACAGCAGCCAACAGCCGGCGGCACUUCACCUUCCUGGCUUCCUCAGCCACGGGCCCACGGCGAGCCAGCGGCCGACGACAGCAGCCAGAAAAUCUUGGUUCCCAAAAUCCAAUUGAGUCUCCUCUCUAAUCUUGGAUCUGCAUUCUUAUUUUGCAUUUGAUAGUAAUUAGUCAAUUAGAAAUUGGUUUGAUUUCCUGGAUGAAGAGGUGCUAAACAUUAAUAUCAUUUCUGUCCACCCAACCCCAGAAACAACAGAAACUGAUUGAGUACAUCACAACACUAGAAACAGCCGGAACUGAGGAUAGUAACAAUGGGCAAAAUAAUGUUGUGCUUGCUCCAAAUGUGAUUGUUGUUGACCGGGCUGCUCACACCAAUUGAACAAUUGGAUGUAAACAUUAGGUAGAAGGGAUUAUUUGUUUGUACAGUCCUUAGAGACCAACUUGACACAUUUAUUUGUGACAUGAGAUUUGAUUUGGAUUUCUCAAGCUGCUCUUACCUUGGUAACCUUGUUGUAAAGAUGGUAAAAAGUGAUAGUCACAAGUUUUUCC
rnacentral:sRNA from 1 species